rnacentral:lncRNA from 1 species
AAACUUUCAUCCUGAGCUUUUGGCAAAAAGCUACGCAAUUAUGGUUUUGAUGCUCCCAUCUGAUAGUGCAAGGAAGUGGCUUGCUCAUGAACUCGAGCUCAUCGAGGUUGUCGCCGAUCAGGUUGCUACUACACUUUCCCCUGAUAUUUUUAGAACACCAUUUGUCUUGAGUUAAUUUAAAAAAAACCUCUUCAAAGUAGAAUAAUCAAUAAUUUAAUGUUUGUUCACUGCUGCACACUGAAUAAAUGAUAUGUGAAAACUGCAAACAACAAGAAAUAGCUAGCUAUACACCGGUGUAGUGCAUGAAACCAUAUGCAAGUCUUGAACACUUUGUACACAUCUUGAAUGGAGUGGAAUGCAGGUUAGCAUGCUCCCUGCGACAACCAUGUUUGUUGGUUAGGUAUAUGGUGUUAUUUCAUAAUUUGCUUAGAGGAUAUAUCAUAUAUGUUCAACUUCUGAUGCAGGUUAAGUCAAGCAUAAGUUAUUUCCUUAGCUUGGGUACUGUAAGCUUAAAUUUAUUUAUAACUACAUAAAUUAGCACUGUGUUCAAGCUACACAUCAGUAAAAAGAGGAAAGGAAUGCAACAGUACAAUAUUAGGAAAGAUGUGUAGUUAAUAAUUUUUCUGAUGAACAUAAAUCAACCUUCUCUGUAGUUUUUCUUUUUCUGUUUUUCAGUCGAAAAGCCAUGUCAAAGAGUUCUAACAGUGUGCUCCUCUGAAUAACUGCUACCGGCACUUUGUUUUCUUUUAAAUGGACCUGGGCGUUAAGCCCAGUCCUACAAAAGGACAUUCACAAAAACUUACCUAUAUAUUGAUAUACAUGGUGUAUUAGCAUGCAUUCUGCAUGGAUUAGAAAAAAACUAGGAUUCUACAACUUUUUUAAUGAGAUCAUAUAUGGUACUCUUCUCAGGUAGCUGUUGCCCUCUCAUGCGGCAAUUCUUGAAGAAUCAAUGUGAGCACGUGAUCUACUGACGGAGCAAAAUGUCGCCCUGGAUUUAGCUCUGCGAGAGGCUGAAAUGGCAAUACAUGCUCGCGAUGUCAACAGGGUGGGGGUUGAACUUGUGGGGCCUGAGGACGCAGACAACCUCGCUACCAUCGACUCAUCUGCUUCUGCAGCCAAGGUGCACAACGCCAAGCCAUGAUCGACGAGUCUGCCCCAACUUCGCCCGACACCGAUGCGUCACUUCUACCCACCAAGAAGUACUCCUUGAUCCAAAUCCUACUCUCUAUUUGCCUUUGCUUGCACCCUAUAGGUGCCCCAAAGUCCCAAACUGUUUCCUUUGCUGCUGCUGCGACAGCACUAUCUAUCUGAACCUAUGUAGUUUAAAUUUGGCCCUGCUGUGUGCAAUCUAUCUGGAUUUGUGCUAAGUUAUGCUAUUUGUCUAGAAACGUGUGCUUAAUUACCUUGUGGUGCAUCUCGGUGCCGAUGGCGAACACAAUGCUAUCUU